ensembl:misc_RNA
CAGCCCACCAGUCUGGUAGGUAGCCUUCAAUCCUCCUAUGCCUCAUUUCUCUAACUAUUAGAGUCUUUCUUCUGAAACAAAGAAGAAAUAGACAGAUCAGGAUUGCUCUUUUGGAAUUGGGGUCCAGAUUGCUCUACUCCCAAGCUCCAGAAAA